rnacentral:lncRNA from 1 species
UUCGGAAAAGUCUACCUGUACUCCUAUAGGAAGGUGUAUAUCCUACAACUAUCAGAUCCAAUGGCUGAUAUUAACCCACUAGCACAGUAGCUUCUAACCUCACACCUUUUUUACUUCUUGCUAAAGCUAACUUAAAUUAAACCCUACUACACUUUUCUCUCCCGCACAGCUCCUCUCGCUAUCUCUGUUUCUCGCUCUCUCUCGCUUCCUCGCUUUCUCUCGCUCCCUCGCCUCUCGUCAUCUCGCGCUCUCCCCUUUCUCUUUCUCUCACUCUCGCUCGCAGGGCACUCCACUCCAUCGGGCAGAAGUUCGGCAGCGCUCGUUCCACACAUCUCGUGUCCGAAGCCGU